rnacentral:rRNA from 1 species
UGGGGAAUUUUGGACAAUGGGGGAAACCCUGAUCCAGCCAUCCCGCGUGUGCGAUGAAGGCCUUCGGGUUGUAAAGCACUUUUGGCAGGAAAGAAACGUCAUGGGUUAAUACCCCGUGAAACUGACGGUACCUGCAGAAUGAGCACCAGCUAACUACGUGCCAGCAGCCGCGGUAAUACGUAGGGUGCAAGCGUUAAUCGGAAUUACUGGGCGUAAAGCGUGCGCAGGCGGUUCGGAAAGAAAGAUGUGAAAUCCCAGAGCUCAACUUUGGAACUGCAUUUUUAACUACCGGGCUAGAGUGUGUCAGAGGGAGGUGGAAUUCCGCGUGUAGCAGUGAAAUGCGUAGAUAUGCGGAGGAACACCGAUGGCGAAGGCAGCCUCCUGGGAUAACACUGACGCUCAUGCACGAAAGCGUGGGGAGCAAACAGG